GGUAACUGGAAUUUCUAGUGUAGGAGUGAAAUCCGUAGAUAUUAGAAGGAACACCGAUAGCGUAGGCAGGUUACUGGGACAGUUCUGACACUAAGGCACGAAAGCGUAGGGAGCAAACGGGAUUAGAUACCCCGGUAGUCUACGCCGUAAACGAUGGAUACUAGCAGUUUUGGGUAUCGACCCCCGGAGUUGCGAAGCUAACGCGUUAAGUAUCCCACCUGUGUAGUACGAUCGCAAGAUUAAAACAUAAAGGAAUUGACGGGGACCCGCACAAGCGGUGGAGCGUGAUCUUUAAUUCGAUGGUAAACGAUAAACCUUACCAAGGCUUGACAUCCGAUGUAGGCUCUCGAAAGAGAACUGUGCCUUCGGGAACAUCGAGACAGGUGAUGCAUGGCCGUCGUCAGCUCGUGUCGUGAGAUGUUUGGUUAAGUCCAUCAACGAGCGCAACCCUUGCAACCAGUUGUAUUUUUCUGGUAGGACUGCCCCGGUAACGGGGAGGAAGGAGGGGAUGAUGUCAGGUCAGUAUUUCCCUUACGCCUUGGGCUAGAAUCGCGCUACAAUGGCUGGUACAAUGCGAAGCGAAGCAGUGAUGUGAAGCAAAUCGCACCAAAGCCAGUCCCAGUUCGGAUAGAAGGCUGAAACUCGCCUUCUUGAAGUCGGAAUCGCUAGUAAUCGCAGAUCAGCAUGUUGCGGUGAAUACGUUCCCGGGUCUUGUACACACCGCCCGUCAAACCAUGAGAGUCACCAACACCCGAAGUCCGCCUCGGCGGCCUAAGGUGGGGGAGAUGAUUGGGGUUAAGUCGUAACAAGGCAUCGGUACGAGAACGUGUCGAUG
rnacentral:rRNA from 1 species